CAUGUAGGCGGAUUAAUAAGUUUGAAGUGAAAUCCUAUAGCUUAACUAUAGAACUGCUUUGAAAACUGUUAAUCUCGAAUGUGGGAGAGGUAGAUGGAAUUUCUGGUGUAGGGGUAAAAUCCGUAGAGAUCAGAAGGAAUACCGAUUGCGAAGGCGAUCUACUGGAACAUUAUUGACGCUGAGAUGCGAAAGCGUGGGGAGCAAACA
rnacentral:rRNA from 1 species